ensembl:lncRNA
GUCAUGGCUCAGUGGUUAACGAAUCUGACUAGGAACCAUGAGGUCAUAGGUUCGAUCCCUUGCCUUGCUCAGUGGGUUAAGGCUCUGGUGUUGCCGUGAGCUGUGGUGUAGGUCACAGAUGCAGCUCACAUCUGGCUGUGGUGUAGGCCGGUGGCAACAGCUCCGAUUAGACCCCUAGCCUGGGAACCUCCACAUGCCACAGGUACGGCCCUGGAAAAGACAGAAAGACAAAAAAAUAAAUAAAUAAGAAAUGUGCAGCAUAUUUAUUAGCUUAUCAUUUUAAAUUUCAAGAAGUAAUGCUUUAUUUCUGUUAUACUGAAAAAAUAAAUUUCCUACUGUCCCUACAUUUCCUUCUCUGGAGUCUAUCAUUUUAAAAUUCUUCACAAGUUUGUCAAUUUGUCAUACUUGAUCCUAUUCUGCUAUUUGCCACUAUACAAAUUCAUAUAAAUGUUUGUUUGUUUGUUUGUUUUUUGUCUUUUUGCCAUUUCUUGGGCCGCUCCCGCGGCAUAUGGAGGUUCCCAGGCUAGGGGUGGAAUCGGAGCUGUAGCCAACGGCCUACUCCAGAGCCACAGCAACGCGGGAUCCGAGCCACAUCUGCAACCUACACCACAGCUCACGGCAACGCCGGAUCGUUAACCCACUGAGCAAGGGCAGGGACCGAACCCGCAACCUCAUGGUUCCUAGUCGGAUUCGUUGACCACUGCGCCACGACGGGAACUCCCAUAUAAAUGUUUUGACUCUUCUUUUGAGAGCUUCUCUGCAAUGCUGCUUGAGAAAGGGCAUAAAGAAGAGUAAAGCCAAAAGUUCCCGUCGUGGCUCAGUGGUUAACGAACCUGACUAGGAUCCAUGAGGACGUGUGUUCUAUCCCUGGCCUCACUCAGUGGGUUAAGGAUCUGGCGUUGCCUUGAGCUGUGGUGCGGGUCGCAGACAAGGCUCGGAUCUGGCAUUGCUGUGGCUGUGGUGUAGGCCGGGGGCUACAGCUCUAUUAGACCCCUAGCCUGGGAAGACAAAAGAAAAAAAAGAGGAGGAAAGCCAACUGAGAGCACAGUUUAGAACAGUAAGAUAACACUCAGCAGCCCACAGAGAAGGAAAAUGAAACAAUGAAAACCCAGGGCCCCUGGAGUCACCAUAACAUUUAAUUUAAUUCUGUACAUAUUUGCCGAGGCCUGCCGAGAACCAGGCAAUGUGCUAGGGAGCCAGUGAGCUACAAGCUGGGGUGGGCCGGGAGAACUGAAACCUUCCCUCACUCUGCUAAGAGCCACUAAUGGGUCUGUGACAAGCUAUUAAUUCAUGAAUGAGAGAGUUAUUUUACUUUGGUACAGAUCGCUUUCGUACUUUCUGCUUUAAUUCAACACAAUCUGUUACGAAUCUCUUUAUUCCCACAGCAUACCUGCAAAGGGAAUCGUGUUAAAAAAAAUCCAGCUGCGGGUCAUUUCCUGCAGCCUUCCCAUCCCCGCCUCAAGCCCACAUUCCACACCCCUCGAACAUUCCAUUGCUACCUCGUUUGUUUCAUUCACUGCCUCCCCAAUACUGUGAGGCAAUUUCUUUCUACAGAGAUCAAAAUCAAUUCCAAUAUAAGAGCCAACUCACUGAAAAGCAGAUUUCUGGUCCCUCCGCUGUAACUCACCUGGACCAAGAAGAACCUACAGCAGGGAGUUUAGCCAACUGCUGGCCUGAGGUCAUCCCAACAGGACAAAGCACCCAAGGAAACAUUCUUUGAAAAUUGAGUAGGAGCUGGGGGGGCGGUGCUGAACAGCAGAUGGACAUGCUGGCAACUACCCACAGUUCACCUUCUCAGCUAAACUGAAACAACCCUUGGCAGCGCAGUCCUGAAAGGAUGCUGACAUUCAAACCCAUUAGGUCACAGUGAGAACAGCCUUGUGACUAAAAUUUUCUAAUGGAGCACUGUCAGUAUUAAAUAAAAGGACCCUAAUUUGCCAUUUUUGUUAUGCAUGACACUUUAUCAGAUUGGGAUGCAAGAGAAAAGGUGGUGAAACCUGACCAGGCUUACAACAGCUCUGCAAAGGUCAGACUAUCCCCAAGGGAUGGUGCAGCCUUCAAGGGAACAUGCCUUCACAUUCUAUCUAUUUAAUGGUUCAGUGACUACUCCUAUCCCUAAAUCGUUGUCAGGGAUUUCUCGUUCCCCACAAAUACCUAAUAUAGAUAAAAAUUCCCCCUUGGUGAUAAACAUUUUAACCUACACAUCAAUUUAGCAAGGCCCCAAGACCUACCAAAUGACCCAAAUAAUAACCCUUUGUUGAGCUGGAUUGGAAAAUAAUGAAUGAUGAAUUUAAAAAAUCAAGGCAAUAGAAAGCCCAGUAGAACAGAGUUUUUCUCACUGACAGAAUGGGUCACACUGUUGAGACACAGAAGUCUCUCUGGGGGCAGGAUUUGCCAACCCUCUGUACCCAGGGCCCUAGCUGCUACAGAAAAAAUUCACUCACCUUCUCUGUGCAUUCAGCUGCAAGUCUAGUUAAUGAAAAGUACUGUUUCAAUUCAGGCAUUAUGUUUGAUUUGCAAAUAAACUACCACCAACAAAAAUAAACCAUUCCCCACUGUGAUCUUACCAUAUUAACACGCAUUUUCCAGUUUUAAUAGAGCAAUUUUAAUGUAUUACCAAGCACAUUGAGUCAUCUACCUACUCAGCAAGGAAAUACUGAAUUGCUACAAGUUCUAUUUAGGACACCUUGCUCAUUCUUAUCUGCCCCAUCUCAGUAUUAAUAUCAUUGAGUUGUUAAUUCCCCAACUGCUCUUUCGUGUGUUGAUGGCUUCAGGUAACGAAGUUAGAGCCAGUCUAGGAAAAAGCAAAAAUGAGAACCCUGACUCUCUGUGAUGGUUUCUAAACCCUGACACUGGAAGGUUAUGGCUCCCUCCCCAUCAGUACAUCUGCCAUGGAAUCCCUUUAAAAAGAAACACGACUUUUUAAACUUCUUUACAUUUGAUUUAAAAAGAUAAACAACCAUGUCAAAUACUAUGUUCAUUUGGCAUCCCAACAGCCAUGGAUAACUGGCUAGAGGCCUGAAACAUUUUCUGAAACGCCCCAGUCCCACCCCUCCCCACCCCCCAAAAGGCAUUCUAUUUUAAAGGUAAGCAGGUAUGAGAUUUAUUAGAGCUAUCAAAAUAACCCAAGAUGAUGUAUUUUAUUUACUUUAGAGAGAGAAACUGGGUGUUUGCGGAUUUCUGAAUAUUAUGCAUGCAUUUAAUAGAUGCAGUCCCGGCACUGAGUGGAGGUGGCAGAGCCCAGGAUGUGACCCAUGGGAAAAGUUUUGUUUAGCUUAGAAAGAAAAUAUCACCUGCGAGAUUUUUCUGCAUUUUUUCAUAUUAAAUGUUACCAACUGUAGCUUUAGUCAUUCAAUUAUGGAAAAUACUAUUUAGAUACCUAUUUAAUUUUCCCCACUCUUUUUAGACACGUAAAAUGUUACAGCCACAGUUAGUUCCACAUCCAAAACUCAAUUCCAUAGAGAAAUGGGGGGUGGGGGGGAGUGCAGACAGGAGGGAAAAACCCACUUAAUCUCAGGAAUGCACCCAUAUUUAGACCAAGGUCUCCGCAAGUUUCCCUGACUCUUUCAUAUGCAUGCAACUGGCCCAUUAAAGCACAAAGUAACAGAGUGAGGCUCAAGUCCUUCCGGAAUAGUCCUUUAAAGGAGCAAUCAGGAAAAUAUAGUCUGCAUGUGUUUGUGUAACUACAAGGUCAUCUUCAGGCUGUGUGGAGAGGAUAAGCAGUGCUUUCUGCACGGAAUUUCCCUCCUAACACUGAUCCGCUUCGCCACUUAACAAAUAACCUGCUACAAGGUCUAAUAUAAACGUUCUUUCCCAAAGAACAGCACUUGAUCAGAAAUACCACUGCUUCUUUUCCUUCUCUAUCAAGGCCAUUACUCCCUUACUCUCCUUCUAAUCCCACCUUGGUGAUGCAUCCCACCUAAGAUCCAAAGAAGAGCCCUCAAAAAUCAUUACUGCAGGAUCUAACAACCAAGCAGUAGAAAACCAGCAUGAAUCUCACAUGCAUUUUAUUUCUGGAGGUACUCAUUUUAACUUCCUUGCUAAUCACAGGAGCUGAUUUAAUUCCAUUUGGUUCCUCUUAAACUCUGUUUAUCCUAGAUAUUGUGAUUUUUAAAAAGUGAAAUAUCAAAAUACAUGCAAGGGAUUUUUAUCUUCGCACAAAACACCACAAAGCUCUCGUCUGAGUUUAUACGAAGGCAAAGUGCAUUUCUUGACUUUAAAACCUAAAGCAAACUUGAUGGAGACUCAAAUAUAAUGAAAAUAGAAGAUACACGGAUGGCUUCAGUAUCACUAUAAAAACUAUCCUCCCAGGGCUUGGAGAGACACACAUACGUCCACAGACCACAAAAUGGGAUGGAGAUUCACCAUCUUCACUUGUACACUGACCUCAUUUUUAUUUAAAAAAAAAAAAAAGGCUUUUUUGCCACCUACACCCCCUUGAAACAGCGAGUCUAAUAGCCCCUGUGCCCCAGAAAGAGGCUGUGCAGAUUUAGAAGCUUCUGUCAGCUCCCAAGUGAACGCCCACUAAUCUAAAGAGGAGGAAUGUGCCGUUGGACAGAGAUUCCAAAUAGCUCUGCCGUAAUUUCUACAUAACUUUAGGAAGUCACCAUUCCUGAGUAAGCCAGGUUACCUAGCAACCAAAUGCUCAUUUGAAUGCUCCCUCCCACCCUAUCCUCUUCAUCAGCUGUGUUCUCUCCUGAAAAUACCAGUGGAAAGAAGGGAUAGGAAUGGGGGCACUUUGAAGCUACACAUGAUGUAGCUUCGAAGCAUAAAUAAGAAUUAUUAGCAAUUAUUAGUGCUGGGUCUGUUAGUAAUAUGCAAAAUAACAACUCAGAUAAAAGACCAGGAAUAAAUUCCAUUUGCUGAUAUCGCAAUUUGGGAUACAUAAAGUAAUCCUUGAAGGACCAAGAAAAAAAGAGGUUCUAAAAUUUGGAUACAUUGGUGCAUUAGAUACAGAUCAUCUUAAUGCCAGAAGGGGAAACAGGCUCCAAAGGUUUUGCACAGGCAUGGUCAAGAGAGGUUUGGAGGUUCAGGCUAAUCUUGAGGAUGGAAAAUUAGGAAAGGCUGCAAAUCAGAAAACCAAGAGAAACCCUGGCAGGUCUCCCACCACCCAAUCAAAUUCCUUAAGGCCACCAAGUCUAUGCAAGGACCUAUUACACAGAAUGGCAGAGAGCAAUUGCUUAAUGCUACUGAAGACAAGCAAAUUUAAAACUGAUGUUAAAAAUUCAGACAUCGUGAAGAACUGCUAUGCUAGAUGCAAGGAUUUCCUUCUAUGAAACUCAGAGGCUAGAAACACUAACUUUCUGGGAUAGGCCUCCAAUGAGCAGAUGAGAUGAACUCCUGAAGUUCUUAAAAAGAUAUUCUGGAAUAGGAGCUGGGAACGUGGGAUCUGCAGCCAAACUUACAUGAAAAUCCUGUCAUGUAUUUCCUGUGUUGACUUUUUAAAAACAUGUAUACCCUGCAUGGCUUAACCUGGGACUGUUAUCUAGAUUGAGUUAAAGUACAUGUUGUACCUGGUAUAUGGCAUAUGCUUGAUAAGUGUUUGCUACGCUUGGUUAAGUGUUUGCUAUUUAUGAUGCUGUCCCUUCAAAAAUCUUCUCUCUCUGAAUAAAGUUUAAAACUGGUCAUAACAUUCUGCAAAAACUGUACCCCCCCCAAAAAAAAUGUUUAAGUGUCAAAGAACCCAUGCCUCUACUUGCAGUUGUACCUGAUAAUGUGACAGUCACUCACAUGUGUAAAACACACAACGAUGUGUUUCCUGCUGCCCAACCCAGAUACUAAAAGCAAAUCUGUCUUCCAUUGUUCUUCCAGCCCCGGAAAAAGUCAUCAUCACUAAACGAGAGAUGGAAAGAGCCAGUGUUUCACAUCUAACGGAAGUUUUUCUCCAGCAUGAAUUUAGUUAUUUCAGUUUUGGUUAGCCUGUUCCUGGGUCUAGAUUUGUGUUAUUGUGUGGCUUCUCUUUUGUUAGGAAAUAAUCAUGUAACACAGGUUCAAUUUAAUGCAAAACAACAAAAUGAGUGUCGAGAUACCUACCUCCAGAACCUCACAAGCACCUUUGAAGUUCCGGGUGUGGCUGCUGGAGAAUGGUUCGGAUCGUCACUGCUGGAAAGUGAGACACAUGAACACGGGGAGAUCUCGACAAGGUUCUUUACUUCUGCAGAAGGGCGCGGGAACUCAAAAAGCACGCGAGGAGAAGACCCUCCCUAUUUAUCCUGAAUGCAGGUGGUAUACCUGCCCCCUUCCCACUGGUCA